rnacentral:rRNA from 1 species
GAUGAACGCUGGCGGCGUGCUUAACACAUGCAAGUCGAACGGAAAGGCCAGUGCUUGCACUGGUGCUCGAGUGGCGAACGGGUGAGUAACACGUGGGUGAUCUGCCCUGCACUUUGGGAUAAGCCUGGGAAACUGGGUCUAAUACCAGAUAGGACCAUGCUUUGGAUGGUGUGGUGGAAAGUUUUUUCGGUGUGGGAAGAGCUUGCGGCCUAUCAGCUUGUUGGUGGGGUAAUGGCCUACCAAGGCGUCGACGGGUAGCCGGCCUGAGAGGGUGUACGGCCACAUUGGGACUGAGAUACGGCCCAGACUCCUACGGGAGGCAGCAGUGGGGAAUAUUGCACAAUGGGCGCAAGCCUGAUGCAGCGACGCCGCGUGGGGGAUGACGGCCUUCGGGUUGUAAACUCCUUUCGCAACUGACGAAGCUUUUUGUGACGGUAGGUUGAGAAGAAGCACCGGCUAACUACGUG